ensembl:lncRNA
GCAAUUUUUUGCUUUCCUAGUAUACUUUUUAAAAUAAGUGCGUGUGAUAGUUCGUGGACACAGACAGGGUUAACAGACCUGAAACAUCUAUCAGAACGGACAGAAGCUAGCCAUGCUACAGAGCUAAUGGGGCGGGACGGGCCAUCUGUGUGGACCGGCCCAGGCCUGGUUCAGCUCUAAUGGGAGCGUCACGCAGCACGGGAACCUCCACCUCCACCUCCAGCUCCCAGAGGCUAAUGAGAGACACAAAAUGGCUGCCAACGGGCCCCGCGUCGGCGGAACGAGAACCGGCCCGAAACGAGAUAAUUAUCUCUCUCUCUCUCUCUUUUUUC